UGGUUCGUCGUUGGCGGAGGUUACGUUCUGCUGAGAUCCAUUCUACUUACACGUUUAUAUUCAAAUAACAUGACAUCGGAAAAUUUCUGACUAAUUCAUGUAAAUCCUCUGUGCCAUAGACGUCCAUUGUUGAUUCCUUCACUGCCACUGUAUUAAUUUACCUCGACAAGAUGACGGAUGGCAGGUUGGAUGAGACAAAAGAGCACUCAGACGUCGUGAGCAAGACGUGGCUCGUCGCAGUAACCUGAGCGAGCCAGCGAGUGGGCGCACCCCGUUAAAAACACGCCCGCCACCGCCGCAGGGGCCGAGAAGUGGAGCAGAGUGACCUUGCUGAUAAUCCGCCCGCUCUCCCACCGCUGCUGGCUAUCCUUUGUCCUCACCUUGAUGGGCUCCGUGCUGAAGCAGAUCUUCCUGGAGGUGGGCGGGCUCUCCUCCGCAGGCAGCCCAGAAAUCUCCACGCAGCUGGACUCGGCCUCGUAGCUGUCGUCGACCUCCUCCUCCUCCUCCUCCUCCUCCUCCUCCUCCUCCUCCUCCUCCUCGUCCACUUCCACGUCCUCCCCCACCGCGCUGUAGGUGCUGACAUCCACCGAGUCCCGGCCCGACUGGUCGUCUCUGAGCGUCCGGUCCUCCUCCUCCUCGUCCUCCUCGUCGC